rnacentral:rRNA from 1 species
UACAGAGGGGGCAAGCGUUGUUCGGAAUUACUGGGCGUAAAGGGCGCGUAGGCGGCCUUCUAAGUCGAACGUGAAAUCCCUGGGCUCAACCCAGGAACUGCGUCCGAUACUGGAAGGCUUGAAUCCGGGAGAGGGAUGCGGAAUUCCAGGUGUAGCGGUGAAAUGCGCAGAUAUCGGGAGGAACACCGGUGGCGAAGGCGGUUCUCUGGGCCUUACCUGACGCUGAGGAGCGAAAGCGUGGGGAGCGAACAGG